rnacentral:rRNA from 1 species
UCAAGCGAACAAGUGCAUGUGGUGGAUGCCUUGGCGAUCACAGGCGAUGAAGGACGCGGUAGCCUGCGAAAAGCUUCGGGGAGCUGGCAAACGAGCUUUGAUCCGAAGAUGUCCGAAUGGGGAAACCCACUCCGUAUGGAGUAUCCAUGACUGAAUCCAUAGGUCAUGUGAAGCGAACGCGGUGAACUGAAACAUCUAAGUAACCGCAGGAAAAGAAAUCAACCGAGAUUCCCAGAGUAGUGGCGAGCGAAAUGGGACCAGCCUGUACUCUUUAUCUUCAUUGUUAGUCGAAGGCUCUGGAAAGUGCCGCCAUAGCAGGUGAUAGCCCUGUAGACGAAAACAGCGAGGAAGAACUAGGUGUACGACAAGUAGGGCGGGACACGUGAAAUCCUGUCUGAAGAUGGGGGGACCAUCCUCCAAGGCUAAAUACUCGUGAUCGACCGAUAGUGAACCAGUACCGUGAGGGAAAGGCGAAAAGAACCCCGGGAGGGGAGUGAAAUAGAUCCUGAAACCGCAUGCAUACAAACAGUCGGAGCCUCGCAAGGGGUGACGGCGUACCUUUUGUAUAAUGGGUCAGCGACUUACAUUCAGUGGCAAGCUUAACCGAUUAGGGCAGGCGUAGCGAAAGCGAGUCCGAACAGGGCGUUCAGUCGCUGGGUGUAGACCCGAAACCAGGUGAUCUAUCCAUGGCCAGGAUGAAGGUGCGGUAACACGUACUGGAGGUCCGAACCCACUAACGUUGAAAAGUUAGGGGAUGAGCUGUGGAUAGGGGUGAAAGGCUAAACAAACCUGGAAAUAGCUGGUUCUCUCCGAAAACUAUUUAGGUAGUGCCUCGUGUAUCACCUUCGGGGGUAGAGCACUGUCAUGGUUGUGGGGUCCAUUGCGGAUUACUACGCCAUAGCAAACUCCGAAUACCGAAGAGUGCAAUCACGGGAGACAGACAUCGGGUGCUAACGUCCGGUGUCAAGAGGGAAACAACCCAGACCGCCAGCUAAGGUCCCCAAAUAUUGCUAAGUGGGAAACGAAGUGGGAAGGCUAAAACAGUCAGGAGGUUGGCUUAGAAGCAGCCAUCCUUUAAAGAAAGCGUAAUAGCUCACUGAUCGAGUCGUCCUGCGCGGAAGAUGUAACGGGGCUAAGCAAUAUACCGAAGCUGCGGAUGCACAUUUAUGUGCAUGGUAGGAGAGCGUUCCGUAAGCCUGCGAAGGUGCACUGGAAAGUGUGCUGGAGGUAUCGGAAGUGCGAAUGCUGACAUGAGUAGCGAUAAAGGGGGUGAAAGGCCCCCUCGCCGUAAGCCCAAGGUUUCCUACGCAACGUUCAUCGGCGUAGGGUGAGUCGGCCCCUAAGGCGAGGCAGAAAUGCGUAGCUGAUGGGAAGCAGGUUAAUAUUCCUGCACCAUUGUUAAAUGCGAUGGGGGGACGGAUCGCGGAAGGUUGUCCGGGUGUUGGAAGUCCCGGUCCUUGCAUUGGAGAAGGCGCUUAGGCAAAUCCGGGCGCGGAAUUCAAGGGUGCGAGGCCAUUCACUUCGGUGAAGAAGCAAUCGGAAGUGGUUCCAAGAAAAGCCUCUAAGCUUCAGUUUAACAAGACCGUACCGCAAACCGACACAGGUGGGCGAGAUGAGUAUUCUAAGGCGCUUGAGAGAACUCGGGAGAAGGAACUCGGCAAAUUGGUACCGUAACUUCGGGAUAAGGUACGCCCCUGUAGCUUGACGCCCCUGCGGGCGAAGGGUGAAGGGGUUGCAAUAAACUGGUGGCUGCGACUGUUUAAUAAAAACACAGCACUCUGCAAACACGAAAGUGGACGUAUAGGGUGUGACGCCUGCCCGGUGCCGGAAGAUUAAAUGAUGGGGUGCAAGCUCCUGAUUGAAGUCCCGGUAAACGGCGGCCGUAACUAUAACGGUCCUAAGGUAGCGAAAUUCCUUGUCGGGUAAGUUCCGACCUGCACGAAUGGCGUAACGAUGGCCACACUGUCUCCUCCCGAGACUCAGCGAAGUUGAAGUGUUUGUGAUGAUGCAAUCUCCCCGCGGCUAGACGGAAAGACCCCAUGAACCUUUACUGUAGCUUUGCAUUGGACUUUGAACCGGUCUGUGUAGGAUAGGUGGGAGGCUGUGAAGCGUGAACGCCAGUUUGCGUGGAGCCAUCCUUGAAAUACCACCCUGAUCUGUUUGAGGUUCUAACCUUGGUCCGUAAUCCGGAUCGGGGACAGUGCAUGGUAGGCAGUUUGACUGGGGCGGUCUCCUCCCAAAGUGUAACGGAGGAGUACGAAGGUACGCUAGGUACGGUCGGAAAUCGUGCUGAUAGUGCAAUGGCAUAAGCGUGCUUAACUGCGAGACCGACAAGUCGAGCAGGUGCGAAAGCAGGUCAUAGUGAUCCGGUGGUUCUGUAUGGAAGGGCCAUCGCUCAACGGAUAAAAGGUACUCUGGGGAUAACAGGCUGAUACCGCCCAAGAGUUCAUAUCGACGGCGGUGUUUGGCACCUCGAUGUCGGCUCAUCUCAUCCUGGGGCUGUAGCCGGUCCCAAGGGUAUGGCUGUUCGCCAUUUAAAGAGGUACGUGAGCUGGGUUUAAAACGUCGUGAGACAGUUUGGUCCCUAUCUGCCGUGGGCGCUGGAUAUUUGAAGGGGGCUGCUCCUAGUACGAGAGGACCGGAGUGGACGAACCUCUGGUGUACCGGUUGUCACGCCAGUGGCAUCGCCGGGUAGCUAUGUUCGGAAGAGAUAACCGCUGAAAGCAUCUAAGCGGGAAACUCGCCUUAAGAUGAGAUAUCCCCGGGGCUUCGAGCCCCUUGAAGGGUCGUUCAAGACCAGGACGUUGAUAGGUCAGGUGUGUAAGCGCAGUAAUGUGCUCAGCUAACUGAUACUAAUUGCCCGUAAGGCUUGAUCCU